GGCAAGGUCGAACGCUUUGUGGUUCAACUGAUUUGAAGAGCUUGCUCAGAUAUGACGAUGGACAUUGCAAAGAGUGGCGAACGGGUGAGUAACACGUGGGAAACCUACCUCUUAGCAGGGGAUAACAUUUGGAAACAGAUGCUAAUACCGUAUAACAAUGACAACCGCAUGGUUGUUAUUUAAAAGAUGGUUCUGCUAUCACUAAGAGAUGGUCCCGCGGUGCAUUAGCUAGUUGGUAAGGUAAUGGCUUACCAAGGCGAUGAUGCAUAGCCGAGUUGAGAGACUGAUCGGCCACAAUGGGACUGAGACACGGCCCAUACUCCUACGGGAGGCAGCAGUAGGGAAUCUUCCACAAUGGGCGAAAGCCUGAUGGAGCAACGCCGCGUGUGUGAUGAAGGGUUUCGGCUCGUAAAACACUGUUGUAAGAGAAGAAUGACAUUGAGAGUAACUGUUCAAUGUGUGACGGUAUCUUACCAGAAAGGAACGGCUAAAUACGUGCCAGCAGCCGCGGUAAUACGUAUGUUCCAAGCGUUAUCCGGAUUUAUUGGGCGUAAAGCGAGCGCAGACGGUUAUUUAAGUCUGAAGUGAAAGCCCUCAGCUCAACUGAGGAAUUGCUUUGGAAACUGGAUGACUUGAGUGCAGUAGAGGAAAGUGGAAC
rnacentral:rRNA from 1 species